GAUGAAGAACGUAGCGAAAUGCGAUACUUGGUGUGAAUUGCAGAAUCCCGUGAACCAUCGAGUCUUUGAACGCAAGUUGCGCCCGAAGCCAUUAGGCCGAGGGCACGCCUGCCUGGGCGUCACACGUCGUUGCCCCCCCAUCUACUCCUUCGGGAUUGCGGGGGGGCGGAUGAUGGCCUCCCGUGCGCCUAGCCGCGCGGUUGGCAUAAAUACCAAGUCCUCGGCGACGCACGCCACAACAAUCGGUGGUUGCGAAACCUCGGUUGCCCGUCGUGUGCGUUCGUCGCGCAUCGAGGGCUCGAAAAAAUGCUCGGCUCCGGCUGGGCUUUCAACGCGACCCCAGGUCAGGCGGGGUUACCCGCUGAAUUUAAGCAUAUCAAUAAGCGGAGGA
rnacentral:misc_RNA from 1 species